GGGGAAUAUUGGACAAUGGACCAAAAGUCUGAUCCAGCAAUUCUGUGUGCACGAUGACGUUUUUCGGAAUGUAAAGUGCUUUCAGUUGGGAAGAAAAAAAUGACGGUACCAACAGAAGAAGUGACGGCUAGAUACGUGCCAGCAGCCGCGGUAAUACGUAUGUCACAAGCGUUAUCCGGAUUUAUUGGGCGUAAAGCGCGUCUAGGUGGUUAUGUAAGUCUGAUGUGAAAAUGCAGGGCUCAACUCUGUAUUGCGUUGGAAACUGCAUGACUAGAGUACUGGAGAGGUAAGCGGAACUACAAGUGUAGAGGUGAAAUUCGUAGAUAUUUGUAGGAAUGCCGAUGGGGAAGCCAGCUUACUGGACAGAUACUGACGCUAAAGCGCGAAAGCGUGGGUAGCAAACAGGAUUAGAUACCCUGGUAGUCCACGCCGUAAACGAUGAUUACUAGGUGUUGGGGGUCGAACCUCAGCGCCCAAGCUAACGCGAUAAGUAAUCCGCCUGGGGAGUACGUACGCAAGUAUG
rnacentral:rRNA from 1 species